rnacentral:lncRNA from 1 species
AUGACUGUGAGAUGAGUGAGGUUCAACUAGCCUUGAAGAGGUUCCGCAUUAAGUAUCCUGAUGCUAUCAGGGAGACUGCUGUGAAGGGUUUACUGCAAGGGGUUGCUGCACAUCAUGCUGGCUGUCUACCUUUAUGGAAAUCAUUCAUAGAAGAGCUGUUUCAGCGAGGACUUGUUAAGGUUGUCUUUGCUACAGAAACACUUGCUGCAGGAAUCAACAUGCCUGCUAGGACAGCCAUUAUUGCAUCCCUUAGCAAAAGAAGCGACAGUGGACGUACCCAAUUAAGCCCAAAUGAGCUGUUUCAAAUGGCUGGGCGUGCUGGACGUAGAGGGAUUGAUGAAAGGGGUCACGUAGUGCUUGUUCAAAGUCCUUAUGAAGGUGCUGAAGCCUGUUGCAAGAUUGUUUUUGCUGGACUUGAACCUUUGGUGUCCCAGUUUACAGCUUCAUAUGGAAUGGUGCUAAAUCUUCUUGCCGGUGCAAAAUUUACCUCUAGAUCAAAUGAAUCAGAUGACACGGAAGCUUCCCAAUCAGGGCGAACCCUGGAAGAAGCUAGAAAGUUAGUCGAGCAAAGUUUUGGAAACUAUGUUGGCAGCAAUGUUAUGCUUGCUGCAAAAGAAGAGCUUACUAGAAUUCAGAAAGAAAUUGAGAUACUGACUUUGGAAAUUAGCGAUGAUGCCAUCGAUAGAAAGAGCAGGAAGCUUCUAUCUGGACCAGCAUAUAAGGAGAUUGCAGAUCUACAGGAAGAAUUAAGAGCAGAGAAACGCCUAAGAACUGAACUUAGAAGAAGAAUGGAAUCUCAGAAAC